GACGAACGCUGGCGGCGUGCUUAACACAUGCAAGUCGAACGGAAAGGCCUGCUUUCCCUUGUGGAUUGCGGGUACUCGAGUGGCGAACGGGUGAGUAACACGUGAGUGAUCUGCCCCCAACUUGGGUAUAAGCCUGGGAAACUGGGUCUAAUUCCCGAUAGGACUGCAGGGUGGUGCCUGUUGUGGAAAACGAUUUUCUAGUGGUUGGGGAUGAGCUCGCGGCCUAUCAGCUUGUUGGUGGGGUAAUGGCCUACCAAGGCGGCGACGGGUAGCCGGCCUGAGAGGGUGGACGGCCAGAUUGGGACUGAGAUACGGCCCAGACUCCUACGGGAGGCAGCAGUGGGGAAUAUUACACAAUGGGCGGAAGUCUGAUGCAGCGACGCCGCGUGGGGGAUGACGGCCUUCGGGUUGUAAACUCCUUGCGACCGCGAGGAAGCCACCUGGUUGGAAGGGUGGUGACGGUAGUGGUAGAAGAAGCACCGGCUAACUACGUG
rnacentral:rRNA from 1 species